GUUAACGGAUGGAAGGCUGACAAACUCCUAUCUGUCCUGGCCGGCUGCCUCAGCUAAGAGAUCGCCAUGGACCAGUUUCUCUCAGCCUUGAGAGAAAGGGGUGUUCCUGAGGAGAACCUGGCAAGAAUGGCAGAGGACAAGAUCGAUCAAGACAUUGUAAAGUUCCUUGGAGAAGACAAACUCUCUGCUUUUAUUCCUCGAUAUGGAGACCGUGUGUUUGCCAGAAACUGGAAGGAGUUAUCCUCAAGUGAAAGGAUAGAGGAUACAGAGCAAA